GGUUCAAAGAAAAAGAAGUUGAUGUCUUUCGUAAAGUAGAAAGUUUUACAAAUGAUUGUGUUGGUGGUAUGUUGGAGCAUUUUGGAAAAGCCGAAAUGAUCUAAUUUUCUCGGGCGAAACAGUUGUGGUGGACGGGAUCUUUGCAGUUGCAUAAGCCAUGACGUUGAUGUGGAUCAAGAGCUAAGAUAGGCGACAAGAAUUAGGUUGGAAGGAGUAGCAUAAUUUUAAUUUUUAAAAUAUGAAAGUGUAACUGUCUAGGUGAGGAGUGUUUUUGGGUGUAAGGUUAUGAUUGUACUUUGACACAAGGCUUACGCAUGGCUUUGACGUGUAAUAUCAGGAUUGUUCUUUUAGCGGCGAAAGGUGGAAGUUGUUAAAGCAAGAGAGAGAGAGAGAGAGAGAGAGAGAGAAGAGAAGCGACAAGGAAGAAAGAGGAUCCGAGAUGUUCCGUUCGCCGGUCACGACGGAGCGGUGGUGGUUUGGGGUGGAGGUGGAGGUGGAGGGUUUCGUUGUUUAUUCAAAUCAACUCAAAAGAUCAAGAUCGUACACAUAAUUAUGAUAGUUCAGGAAGAUGUUAACAACCAAGAACAAAUAUGCGGAGAUCACUAAAGGCAUCGAUGGCUUACAAUAAGUCAUCCUACUUGAAAUUCACGGCAGCAGUGUUGAGUCAGGUUACUUUCAAGAGGGAAAAGUGA
rnacentral:lncRNA from 1 species